rnacentral:rRNA from 1 species
UACGUAGGGGGCAAGCGUUGUCCGGAAUCAUUGGGCGUAAAGCGCGUGUAGGCGGUUCGGUAAGUCUGCUGUGAAAGUCCAGGGCUCAACCCUGGGAUGCCGGUGGAUACUGUCGGGCUAGAGUACGGAAGAGGCGAGUGGAAUUCCCGGUGUAGCGGUGAAAUGCGCAGAUAUCGGGAGGAACACCAAUUGCGAAGGCAGCUCGCUGGGACGUCACUGACGCUCAUGCACGAAAGCGUGGGGAGCAAACAGG